UCCGUCGUGGUGUAGUGGCUAGCAUUUGAGACUCUCAUUUCGAUAACCGAACUGUGACCUCUCAGAACCCGGGUUCAAUUCCCGGCGACGGAA